UCCUAGCCCUGAUAGGAGCGGUUACCCCGGAGUAUAAGUGGGAGAGUUGAAGGGUUAAGCAGCCGGAACAGUAAGGAGCGAGGAGUAUGAGCGGAUAGCAGGAACAGCU
rnacentral:sRNA from 1 species